CUGCACCUGCAUUUAACAUGAGGAGAGUUACUCAAGGAACGGCAGUCCCUCCUCAACUCCCUCCACCCCCCGCACCGGCCCUCAACAUGAGGCGAACAGAGGAGCCCUCUUCAAGCCUGGCCUACAGACCAACAUGGCGAGGGGGAAGAACGACCGAUACCAUUCCCUGCUCUGCGGCUGAGGUCCACAUCCUUAGCCUGCUGGAGACCAUUAAACAACAACAAGACCAGCUUGUGGCAAAGGUGAACUACCUCAGCAGCAGGCUGAACAGCAACCCCGGGGCCAAAUAUCCAGUUUCCCCUGGAACAAUUGGAGGCAGUGGAGGCAUUUGAAAUGUUUUUAAAGGAAAUGUCAAAUUGCCCAGCUCGACAGAGCGUGAUUUCUUCUUUGGCCACCAUUGGUGGUCAGGAUGUGAAGAGAGUGACCUGGAACAUCCUGGCCAGGCUCUUCACAGAUGAGGUAUCUCAUCAGAUAAACUGGAAGGGUGUUAAUAACAAAAAGUCCUUCAGUAGGAUGGCAACGAAGAUCAGUGCAAUAAUGAUAAUAAUAAAAAGCCUACCUUUCUGACAUGUAGUAAAUCUUUGAAAUUGCUGUGGGAUCCCCUCUGCUGUGAGACUCCCUCCUUUUGAUUCCUUCAGUUUGUCGCUGGCACUGUAAACCGGGUUGACCAUGGGUGCGCUUCUAGAAAGUGGAGAUGCUAACUUCUGGCACAGUCUUGGGCAAGACAGUGGCAUACCUGUAUUUGUGCGUAAGAGCGCAACUACGGUCGAAGUUUGGGGGUUGGAAUCACAGUGGAUUGUCAUGUUAUCGAAGUAAAUGCACGCAAAUGUAUUGGCUGCCUGUUUGGUUGUGAUAGCUUCGCUCGCAUACAUUUGUCUUGGCUCUCCAUAAUAAUAAUAAAUGUG